rnacentral:rRNA from 1 species
AUACGGAGGGUGCAAGCGUUACUCGGAAUCACUGGGCGUAAAGAGAAUGUAGGCGGGUUAAUAAGUUGGAAGUGAAAUCCUAUGGCUCAACCAUAGAACUGCUUUCAAAACUGUUGACCUAGAAUAUGGGAGAGGUAGAUGGAAUUUCUGGUGUAGGGGUAAAAUCCGUAGAGAUCAGAAGGAAUACCGAUUGCGAAGGCGAUCUACUGGAACAUUAUUGACGCUGAGAUUCGAAAGCGUGGGGAGCAAACAGGAUUAGAAACCCCAGUAGUCC